UUAAGAAUCCUUUUCAUAUCAUUAGAUGCUUUCUAUUAUAACAUGAACUUUUUAUUGUAAACAUGAAAGAUAUUUGGUUUUGUUGCUGCAAGUGGAUGAUUUUUAUGUGACCAUAAGUUAAAUCAAUAUGAAAAAGAGAAGCUUGCAAAAUCAAGAAAAACAAAAAAUAGGUUCAAUUUUAUAACUUAAACUAAACCCAAUUCAGUUUAGAUGAUUAUAGAGCUUCUGGAACUGAAAUCUAGGAUGCUAUUGAAGUUGCCAUUGUUUGAACCCUUGCUGACCCUAAAGAGGCAUCUCUCUAUCAUCUAUAGCAUUAUAUAUAAAAAUCAGAUUUUGACCCUUUGUGAAUGCAAAGAAGACAUAAAAAAUAAAGUUCACGCGAUGAUCGAUAAAUUGGCUGAACAUUUGCAGAGCUCACGCCGAUGAACAACUUGCUAUUGCUAAGGAGAUUGGUAGACGACUUCGUAUGGGGCAAACACGCACCCUUCUUCUUUACUUGGUGGCGACAAGGAUGCAUCUAUAGCAGUUCACCUUAUUUAAGAGCUGAUUGAGGAAACUGAUGAAUUUACUGGACUUUUCCUAGAACUUAAGUAUGAGAUGUGAAGGAUUUACAAGAAAGAAUGUGCAUUUGUAGAAAGAUAGGUGAUGGUGUGAAUGAUGCACCUGUUUUUAAAAAAAAAAAAAAAGCUAAAAGCACACUUUGGUAAUUGAUGUUGCUUAGCUAUAGAUGAUGAAAUCGUGUAGCAGACUACAUUUGUUACCAAUUGCGAAUCUGCUGGAGAGAGCCACAUGUAUUUAUUUUUUAAUUUUCGAAUAUUUGUUAUGCGGUUAAUAUUACUAUUUUUCAUA